GACAGAGGUGGCAAGCGUUGUUCGGAAUUACUGGGCUUAAAGGGCGAGUAGGCGGUGAGACAAGUCCGAGGUGGAAUCCUUUGGCUUAACCAGAGAACUGCCUUAGAUACUGUUUCACUUGAGUCAGUGAGGGGAGGGCGGAAUUCCCGGUGUAGCGGUGAAAUGCGUAGAUAUCGGGAGGAAGGCCAGUGGCGAAGGCGGCCCUCUGGUGCUGAACUGACGCUGAGGCGCGAAAGCGUGGGUAG
rnacentral:rRNA from 1 species